UGGGGAAUAUUGGGCAAUGGAGGCAACUCUGACCCAGCAACGCCGCGUGAAUGAUGAAGGUCUUCGGAUUGUAAAGUUCUGUGACGGGGGACGAACACAAUGACGGUACCCCGAUAGCAAGCCUCGGCUAACUACGUGCCAGCAGCCGCGGUAAUACGUAGGAGGCAAGCGUUAUCCGGAAUGACUGGGCGUAAAGGGUGCGUAGGUGGUUUGGCAAGUUGGCAGCGUAAUUCCGGGGCUCAACUCCGGCGCUACUGCCAAAACUGUCGAACUUGAGUGCAGGAGGGGUAAGUGGAAUUCCUAGUGUAGCGGUGGAAUGCGUAGAUAUUAGGAGGAACAUCGGUGGCGAAGGCGACUUACUGGACUGUAACUGACACUGAGGCACGAAAGCGUGGGGAGCAAACA
rnacentral:rRNA from 1 species